ensembl:lncRNA
GCAUUAGGUGGCAAGGCAAACAAAGGCUAAUUAAGGUAACAGAUGGAAUUAAGUUUGCCAAUCAGCUGACCUUCAAACAGGGAGAGAGAGUAGCCUGGAUUAUCCAGGUGGACCCAGGAUCACAAGAUGCUUCCUUGUGGGAGAGGAAGGUAGGGAGAGAGCCAGGGAGACUGGACAAAGGACUCAGCCGGAGCCGCUUGCUUUGAAGAUGGAGGAAGGAGCCCCGAGUUAAAGAUUCCUGUGGCCUCUAGAAACUGGAAAAGGCAAGGUCGAGUCUCCCAGAAAACCUCCAGAAGGAACGCUGCCUUGAGGACGACCUUGACUUCAGCCCAGUGAGACACACUCCAGACUUCCGACCUCCAGACGCGCCUUGGGAGAGCUGUUGGGAAGUUGAAACGAGACAGGAAACGGAAAUGGCCGGUCCUUAAACACUUGCAGUACCCUGGCCCCAUCCUGGAUUCCAAACACAGAGGCAUAGGCUGAACCAAGAUUCAAAGCAGCUUUGCUGACUCGGAAGCCCCAAGCCCGGUUCUCACCUUGGUUCGCGGCCAGGCUGCCCACAGGCCCCCUCUCAGCAGUCCCAGCGGACUGGAAUGUUCCAAAAUCACUGCAGACAGUGAGUGCAGCCAGGAAAUUAAUAAGACACUUCCUCCUUGGAAGAAAAGCUAUGACAAAUCUAGACAGCAUAUUCAAAAGCAGAAACAUCAUUUUGCUAACAAAGGUCCAUAUAGUCGAUACUAUGGUUUUUCCAGUAGUCAUGCACAGAUGUGAGAGUUAGACCUUAAAGAAAGCUGAGUGUCAAAAAAUUAAUGCUUUCCAAUUGUGGUGCUGGAGAAGACUCUUGAGAGUCCCCUGGACUGCAAGGAGAUCAAACCACUCAAUCCUAGAGGGAAUCAACUCUGAACAUUCACUGGAAGGACUGAUGCUGAAGCUCCAAUAUUUGGGCCACCUGAUGCAAAGAGCCGACUCACUGGAAAAGACCCUGAUGCUGGGAAAGAUUGAAGGCAAAAGGAGAAGGGGGAGGCAGAGGAUGAGAUGGUUAGAUGGCAUCACCAACUCGAUGGACAUGAGUUUAAGCAAACUCUGGAAGAUUCUAAAGGACAGAGGAGCUUGGUGUGCUGCAGGCUGUGGGGUGCAGAGUGUUGGACACAGCGACUGAGCAACAACAAAGAUGGCUGUUACAAAGCGGCAUCUUAAAACGGCACGUAUUUAUUCCCAAUAGACCUAGAAGCCGGAAGUCCAAAAUCUAUCUCAAUGGACUGAAAUCUAGGUGUCCCACAGGGCUGCUUCCUUC